rnacentral:rRNA from 1 species
UACGUAGGGUGCAAGCGUCAAUCGGAAUUACUGGGCGUAAAGCGUGCGCAGGCGGUUUUGUAAGACAGGCGUGAAAUCCCCGGGCUUAACCUGGGAAUGGCGCUUGUGACUGCAAAGCUGGAGUGCGGCAGAGGGGGAUGGAAUUCCGCGUGUAGCAGUGAAAUGCGUAGAUAUGCGGAGGAACACCAAUGGCGAAGGCAAUCCCCUGGGCCUGUACUGACGCUCAUGCACGAAAGCGUGGGGAGCAAACAGG